AUUGAACGCUGGCGGCGUGCUUAACACAUGCAAGUCGAUCGGUAACAGGUGUAGCAAUACAUGCUGACGAGAGGCGGACGGGUGAGGAACGCUUGGGAAUCUGCCUAUCAGCGGGGGACAACCCGGGGAAACUCGGGCUAAUACCGCAUACGCUCUACGGAGGAAAGCCGGGGACCGCAAGGCCUGGCACUGAUAGAUGAGCCCAAGUCGGAUUAGCUAGUUGGCGGGGUAACGGCCCACCAAGGCGACGAUCCAUAGCUGGUCUGAGAGGACGAUCAGCCACAACGGAACGGAGACACGGUCCGGACUCCUACGGGAGGAAGCAGUGGGGAAUAUUGGACAAUGGGGGAAACCCUGAUCCAGCGACGCCGCGUGGGUGAAGAAGGCCUGCGGGUUGUAAAGCCCUUUCGGUAGGGAAGAAAUCUCUUGCUCUAACAAAGCAGGAGUUUGACUUAACCUACAUAAGAAGCACCGGCUAACUCUGUGCCAGCCGCCGCAGUAA
rnacentral:rRNA from 1 species